rnacentral:rRNA from 1 species
CACGCCGUAAACGAUGGAUACUAGGUGUAGGAGGUAUCGACCCCUUCUGUGCCGCAGUUAACACAAUAAGUAUCCCACCUGGGGAGUACGGCCGCAAGGUUGAAACUCAAAGGAAUUGACGGGGGCCCGCACAAGCAGUGGAGUAUGUGGUUUAAUUCGAAGCAACGCGAAGAACCUUACCAGGGCUUGACAUGCAGGUGAAUAAUAUAGAGAUAUAUUAGUCCUUCGGGACGCCUGUGCAGGUGG